GGCGGUGCGCGCAUGCUUGCUGGCCGCUGCUGGGCGCGCGGGAGAGGUGCGAGGGCGGCUGAGUUGGCGGGUGGUCUGCGUCGGCUGAGGGCGAUGGCGGCUCGAACCGCGCCGUGCUGCCAGGCGGGAGUAACGUAGCGCUCUGUGGUGGCUGUUGGGCCCCGGCGGUUGGCGUCAGCCCACGUUCCAGCCGAGUCUGUGCCGACUGCGGUAAUGCUGGGUGGGUAGAGCUGCCCAGCGGGUCCCCUCCCGAUAAUCCAGAUCCAGAUGUACGGAUCUGAGGUGCAAGAUGAGCAAAUAUCAGAGACUCAGAAUUACUGAGGUCAGAAGGGAGCUCUACAGGAGACUGCUCCGAACUUCAACUCAGAGCAAGAGCCCAUUGCUUGUGGCGUAUCCAGGUCAGUUUAGAAGGUCUCCAAGCACAGGCUCCAAAACCUGCGGGCACCUUGUGCUGGUGAUCAACCACCAUCCCUGUAUAAUAAUAUAUAUUUAUUUAUUAUUAUUUCUGCUAUCUCAGUCUGUGUUCAGUUCUGUUGCAUUUCCUCCUGUCAGUGGUCACCACUGGGAAGUCUGGCUGUGUCUUCACUCCCUCUCAUCAGAUGCUUACGCACAGUGUUGAGGUCCCCAGGUUGUCUCUCAGGGCUGAGCGGUCCCAGCUCUCAGACUCACCUCAUGCAACAGUGUUUCCAAACACUGUAGAUAGAUGACUUCAGCAAAUUAUUUAUUAAAAGAAUAUGUAGGAGAAGAAAAGGAAAAUAAGUAUUUUUUGUAUUCAUCAUAAAAAAGAAAGGUUGUGAGUCCAAAUCUUAAAAAAAAACUUGCAGUUCACCUCUAAUAUAACCAUCAGCAAUUGAUUUAUGGCACUCCUAGGGCACUCUUAGGGCAAGAGAACCAACAGCCUCUUGGAGUUCACCCUCAGCUUUCAUUAACUUUCUUCUGUGGUAGCCUGGACAGUAUUGUACAUUUUUUUUUUAUAUGUAUUAAGUUAUAACAUGUCAUCAUUUUAUUAUCAAAGGGAAUGACUCAGCCUUGCCAUCGUUUGUAGGAUUUGAUUUCCCAGGCAACAAUACAGUUUAUUACAGUGCUAAAAUUAAUUAUAUCUGCCCUCUUAAUACAUGCUUGGGCUCAAUAUGUGAACCACCAUUUUCAAAACAAAGGGAUUUAUGUCUCGGAUCAGGUAUCAUAAAAGAACAGCUGUAACAAAUAAAGCACAGUUCUGUUAUGAAUUUAAGUAGUUCCUUCUGUUAGAAGUUUUUGAAUGCUUGAUUUAUGUGAAAAAUGACCUAAUGUGCUUGCAUUUAAGAAAAUUCUAGCAUGACAAUUUAUCAUUUGUGGCUGUAUUAACAAUCACCAUUUAUUUGUCUAAAAUUUCAUAUUCUUAAGCAUGUGGAAGAGAAAGUUGGAAAUUAUCUGCAAAUGGAAAUGCAAUGAUGUGCUCUGUGGACUGGCGUGCAGAAUGCAGGCUGUGCUGAAGACGGCACAAUGCUGAGUGAAGAGCUCCCACCAGGGAGGCCCAGGUCCCACAUUACCUGGCUUAGUCUGGCAGCUCCCUGCUGCCUGUCCUUACCCUCAGUUGCAGGAUUUCUUUUCUUUGUGAGCUGGAGGAAGAUGCUAUACAUGAGUGAGUCUCUGGCCUUUAUUGCUGGAAUGAGCCAAAUUAUGAGUCAAACAUUUUCAGAUAUGAAUGUGUUGAGAACUGAAACAGGUGAUUUCAGAAGUGUGAAUUUCUGCUUUAAGAAUGGUUAACACACAUUCCUAUUGAAGUGGUGUAUAGUCAACAAAUACAGAGAGUAGUGUGGUCAGAUUGGUAUCCACAGAACAUAAAGCUAGAAAGGUUAUCAUGUUAGAAAAGGAUAAUUGGAAACAAAUGGAAACUGCUCACCUGUGUUGUAGGCUUGCAGGAAGAACUCAAGAGGAGCAACCUCCAGAAAGAGAUCCUUCCUCAGUGGCAGUCAGCCCUUAAAUGGGGUCUAGGAGAGGUGGAGCCCGGCUCCAUCCCUUCUGGUCACACAGAUGAAUUGCCUUCACCUGUGUUCCUGUGGCUGACUCAGUGCUCAUCUCAGCUGAUCAAUCAGAAGUUCAGGCCAUGAUUCAACAGUUCCCAUACAAGUGGUUGUGUAAAUAGUGAACUUUAAUUGCUUACUGGGACGUCUCAGAAAAUGAAUGAGAUUACGUGUUGGUACCAUUGGGGUACAGGACUGGGCAAACUUGCUGCAGCCGUGUAGGGAAGAGUGCUGUCAGUCAAGCAGCCUCCUGGCCAAUGAAGCGAUUACUGUAAGUAAGUUGUGAUUGGAAGGGGGAAAACAAAAGAAGCCAGCUGAUGUUGUGUUAGUUAAAACUUUGUGGACACAAAAGUGAAUAUAAAAAUUAAUGGAAAGUGCCCUCUGAAAAAUAUAGAAAUGAGUGGCACAGAUGGGCCUUGAAAAUCAAUGGACAAGGUAAACCUCGCAGCUACUAUGAAAGCUGUAACAGGUGACCAGAACAAGGAACCCUGAGUUCUUCAGACCUGUGAAUAUAUUGCAUUUCAGUUCAAAGGAGCUGCCUUACCUCACCUUUUGCAGCACAUUGUGCUCAGAUUCCCAAGGCUCCCGCGGCUUGUGGGCUGCUUUUGUGAGUUCUUGCUAACCACAACUAUGUACUGCUCCAUAAUUUUGCAUGGUUGUGUAUGUGUCUAGAAAAGCACAGUUGAUAGAGGACUUGGUCUUCAUCUUAACUGUGGAAAGCUCAAUUAGCAUGUUUUGGCAAGAGCAUAAGCAUCUUCUGAAUAUCUUUGCUGUCAGCUUGAAUAGCAGAAACUCAAAUUUGAGUUUCAGGAGUCGCUACUGCAGACAGGCUUUACCUGCUGGUAGAAGAACAACAUUGCAUUUUCAUUGCAAAUGUGAUUGCUGGUAUUUCCUGCGUUUUGUGCUUUGGUAGCAUCCUUCCAGUACCUGAAGGGGACCUACAGGAAAGCUGGGGUGGGAUUUUUUAUAAAGGCAUGUAGCAACAGGAUGAGGGGAAAUGGCUUUAAACUGGAAGAGGGUAGAUUUAGACUAGAUGGUAGGCAGAAUUUCUUUACUGUGAGGGUGAUGAGACACUGGGACAGGUUGCCCAGUGAGGCUGUGGAUGCCCUUUCCCUGGAAGUAUUCAAGGCCAGGCUGGAUAGGGCUGUGAACAAUCUAGUCUAGAGGGAGGUGUCCCUGCCUAUAGCAGGGGGUUGGAAUCAGAUAGUCAUAAAGAUCCCUUUCAACCCAAACCAUUCUAGGAUUCAUGUGAUUCAUCACAGGUACACUUUAUAUUCAGAAUGCUCUAUGUACAUUAGAUUUCAUUACAGUCUUAAUUUCCUGCAUUCUGUACCAAAGUUAAUGUAGAUUUCAAACAACCUUUAGAACAGUUUUCAUCAAAGCUUCACUUGAUUAAGAUGUUCGCUGUCCUGUUUUGUACUGGGGUGUUUUGGGAUCAUAAAAACACACUGUAACUGUUGGGAUUUGUAGGCCUGUUCAACUCGUGUGGGAGGGGAAUGAGUUAGCACGGGCUCACACCAAAGCCCUGUGUGGAUGGUACCACAGCUGGACAGCUCAGCACUCGAGUGCAUUAAGGUCAUGAAUGAGGUGCAACUGUUUCACACGCCUAAAGGAAGGAAAGCCAAGGAGUUGAGGGAUUCUGAAGCCAUGGUGCAGUCUGCAUUGGCCAAGAGUGCAUAAACGCCAUCAGCCAUGUAGUUGAGGAGUGCUCCUGGAUCCGCAGCACGUGCUAACUUCUUACAUGACAGCAUUUGUCAGUAAUGCUGGUGUCAUUGGGUGUAAUUUGGAUGGGAGUCUCCAUUCAGCUUCAAGGUGAAGACCCUUAUGUGCAUGUCCUUUUGUGGUCUGGAUCCAUCAUAUCUGAAAAGUCAGCCAAAGCUUUGUAAUGAAGGUCAAGGUUCAUUAUUUCACCACGUUAGUGAAACACAGCUUUCUGUAAAACCUGGGCUAAGUUGCUCCACAGAGAACUUCCUCAAAGAACAACUGCGAGCAGUAUGCAAUUCCUACAGAGCUAAGAGCAGCCAUCUAAUGUCAGCAUGCAGCCAUGAGUGGCUUUGGAGUCUUCUAUGAAAAAGGAGCCUGGUCAGUGCACAGGGCCUCAGUACACUGCAGGGAGGUGGGCGCUGCAUGCAGGCUGCUUCAUGCUGCUGCUGGAAGACCCUGCUCAGAGCUGCUCACAGUGCUGCAGGCAUACAGACCAGGUGCUUCCUGAAUGGCCAGCCUCGGGAUGCCUUUUAUUCCACCUCAGAAGAAAAUGUUUCCAAGAAUAAUAUGAGGCAGAUCAGAGUUAUCACAUUUCUGUUAUUUUGUUGUUGAUUUUCAAUUCCUGCAGAUGUUUGUCUGAAAAUCUGCAACAUCCACGUACUUCUGAUGAAGGAGCACAGUUUGGCAGAGCUGCUCCAUGUCAGAAAUAAUCUCCGAAAGCAAAUGUAUGUGACUUAAUACAAGCUUUUUAAACAUCUGCCAUUUAUCUGCAGUCAGCAGAGGCGCAGUAACAGCGGGCAGCUGGGUUGUGCCCAGCACAUCUCGGUGCGUGUGAGAGAUCCUGCAAGACGUGUGUGGCGUUUCAGUGGCACGGAUCCCAGUGCAGGCAGCAGUGAGGGAUGCGGGGUGUGAGCGGGUGGGAGGGCACUUCCACAGCACUUCAGGCCAACCCAGCGCAGAAGCUUUUGCAGUCUGAAUCAGCAACAGAUAGCAUGUAGCACAAGAGAGGUCCAGCAAAAGUUGUAGUGAUGGCUUCAGUUUCACCUGAAAGGAACAGAGCAAACUGGAACUUGUAGCUGUCAACAGAAGAAGACAGGAUUUGGUUUCAAGUAAUGAAAAUACAAAUCCCUUCCCUGGCUGUUUCCUGGAUUAACACAGUCCCAUCCUCAAACAAGACACAAAGAGGUCUGAGGAGAUUAGUAUCUACAUGGGAUUGACACGGUCCUGCUCAUGUGUUCAUGGGAAUGUUUCAAUGAGUAAGUAUUAACAGGAAGGAAAUGUCCAUCAUGGGGAAUUUAAAAAAUGUGAAGUUUGAGCCCAGGAUGAAUUCUGACAGCUUGGUUACCAUCAGCCCCUCAGAGACGCAGCUUAGUGGAAACACUGACGUAAUGUCCACGAUAGCAGUGGGAAUAUUGCCAGUGAAACAGAGAGUCCCGGGGGCGUAACAUGAGGCAGAAUCACAGUGGUUCCCCACAUCACCACUUCUUUGAAAAUAAACUUGAUAGAAGAUUUG